rnacentral:lncRNA from 1 species
CCCAAAACACCCCCAGAAUCCUGCCCAAAACCACUACAAAAUGCUUCCCAAAACACCCUCAAAAUCCUGUUCAAAAUAUCCCAAAAUCCUGCCCAAAACCACUACAAAAUCCUGCCAAAACACCCCCAAAAUACUUCCUAAAAUCCUGCCCAAAACUCUCCAGAAUCCUUCCUAAAAUCCUUCCCAAAACACCCCCAAAAUGCCCCGAAAUCCUUCCAAAUACACCCCCGGAAUUCUGCCCAAAAUCCCACCCAAAACACCCCAAAAUCCCACCCAAAAUACCCCAAAAUCCUGCCCAAAACCACUCCAAAAAUCCUGCCAAAAACCCCAGAAUCCGGCCCAAAACCCCCCAAAAUCCUUCCAAAUACACCCCCGGAAUUCUGCCCAAAAUCCCACCCAAAACACCCCCAAAACCCUGCCCAAAACAUCGCAAAAUUCUGUCUGAAACACCCCAAAAUCCUGCCCAAAACCACUACAAAAUGCUUCUCAAAACAGCCUCAAAAUCCUGUCCAAAAACACUCCAAAAAUCCUUCCCAAAAAACCCAGAAUCCGGCUCAAAACCCCCCAAAAUCCUACCCAAAAUCCUUCCUAAAAUCCUGCCCAAAACAUUGCAAAAUUCUGUCUGAAACACCCCAAAAUCCUUCCCAAAACACCCUCAAAAUCCUGUCCAAAAUAUCCCAAAAUCCUGCCCAAAAACACUCCAAAAAUCCUUCCUAAAAUCCUGCCCCAAAACCCUCCAGAAUCCUUCCUAAAAUCCUUCCCAAAACAUCCCAAAAUCCUACCCAAAAAAACCCCAGAAUCCGGCCCAAAAUCCUACCCAAAAUAAUUCCUAAAAUUCUGCCCAAAACCCCCCCAAAAUCCUUCCAAAUACGCCCCAGAAUUCUGCCCAAAAUCCCACCCAAAACACCCCCAAAACCCUGCCCAAAACAUCGCAAAAUUCUGUCUGAAGCACUCCAAAAUCCUGCCCAAAACACCCCCAAAAUCCUGUCCAAAAUAUCCCAAAAUCCUGCCCAAACACCCCCAAAAUCCUUCCUAAAAUCCUGCCCCAAAACCCUCCAGAAUCCUUCCUAAAAUCCUUCCCAAAACAUCCCCAAAAUCCUUCCCAAAAAACCCCCAAAAUCCCCCCCAAAACCCCCCCAAACCUGCCCAAAACCAC